rnacentral:rRNA from 1 species
AUUGAACGCUGGCGGCAGGCCUAACACAUGCAAGUCGAACGGUAACAGGAAGCAGCUUGCUGCUUCGCUGACGAGUGGCGGACGGGUGAGUAAUGUCUGGGAAGCUGCCUGAUGGAGGGGGAUAACUACUGGAAACGGUAGCUAAUACCGCAUAAUGUCGCAAGACCAAAGAGGGGGACCUUCGGGCCUCUUGCCAUCGGAUGUGCCCAGAUGGGAUUAGCUUGUUGGUGGGGUAACGGCUCACCAAGGCGACGAUCCCUAGCUGGUCUGAGCGGAUGACCAGCCACACUGGAACUGAGACACGGUCCAGACUCCUACGGGAGGCAGCAGUGGGGAAUAUUGCGAAAUGGGCGCAAGCCUUAUGCAGCCAUGCCGAGUGUAUGAAGAAGGCAUUCGGGUUGGAAAGAACGUUCAGCGGGGGGGAAGGGAGUAAGGUUAAUACCUUUGCUCAGUGACGUUACCCGCAGAAGAAGCACCGGCUAACUCCGUG